UACGAAGGGGGCUAGCGUUGCUCGGAAUCACUGGGCGUAAAGGGUGCGUAGGCGGGUCUUUAAGUCAGGGGUGAAAUCCUGGAGCUCAACUCCAGAACUGCCUUUGAUACUGAGGAUCUUGAGUCCGGGAGAGGUGAGUGGAACUGCGAGUGUAGAGGUGAAAUUCGUAGAUAUUAGGAAGAACACCGGUGGCGAAGGCGGCCCACUGGCUCGACACUGACGCUGAGGUGCGAAAGCGUGGGGAGCAAACAGG
rnacentral:rRNA from 1 species